rnacentral:rRNA from 1 species
ACUCCUACGGGAGGCAGCAGUGGGGAAUAUUGCACAAUGGACGCAAGUCUGAUGCAGCAACGCCGCGUGGAGGAUGACGCAUUUCGGUGUGUAAACUCCUUUUAUAGGGGAAGAUAAUGACGGUACCCUAUGAAUAAGCACCGGCUAACUCCGUGCCAGCAGCCGCGGUAAUACGGAGGGUGCAAGCGU